GGUGAGAGAACCCUAUUUUCUGGGUUGCAAGUCAAAACGCGAAACGCUCCGUCACUCUCUCUUCUGGGUUUUGUCGCUCCGUCGCUCUCUCUCUCUUUUCUACACUCUCCGUCAGCCAGUCGCUCUCUCACUAUUCGACAGGCUCUCUCUAGAUCAGUCGAUUGACUCGAUUCUCAGUCUCUCUCCGGCCAGCUCUUUAGCUCUCCAGCUCGGAGGUAAACUCGAUUCUCAGUCUUUCUAGGUUUUACUUUCAAUCGAAUUUAUGGGGCUUUCUAGGUUUGAUUUUGGGCUGGAUUUCUGGGUUUGAUUUUGGGUUGGGUUUCUGGGUUCAAGGCUUCAAGGCUUCAAGCUCGGUGAUUCUUCAACCUCGAAGCUUGGUGAUUCUUCAUUCUUCAAGCUUGAUUUUUGGGUUCAA
rnacentral:lncRNA from 1 species